rnacentral:rRNA from 1 species
GAUGAACGCUGGCGGCGUGCCUAAUACAUGCAAGUCGAGCGAACAGACGAGGAGCUUGCUCCUCUGACGUUAGCGGCGGACGGGUGAGUAACACGUGGAUAACCUACCUAUAAGACUGGGAUAACUUCGGGAAACCGGAUCUAAUACCGGAUAAUAUAUUGAACCGCAUGGUUCAAUAGUGAAAGACGGUUUUGCUGUCACUUAUAGAUGGAUCCGCGCCGCAUUAGCUAGUUGGUAAGGUAACGGCUUACCAAGGCGACGAUGCGUAGCCGACCUGAGAGGGUGAUCGGCCACACUGGAACUGAGACACGGUCCAGACUCCUACGGGAGGCAGCAGUAGGGAAUCUUCCGCAAUGGGCGAAAGCCUGACGGAGCAACGCCGCGUGAGUGAUGAAGGUCUUCGGAUCGUAAAGCUCUGUUAUUAGGGAGGAACAAAUGUGUAAGUAACUAUGCACGUCUUGACGGUACCUAAUCAGAAAGCAACGGCUAACUACGUG